rnacentral:misc_RNA from 1 species
GAUGAAGAACGUAGCGAAAUGCGAUACGUAAUGUGAAUUGCAGAAUUCAGUGAAUCAUCGAGUCUUUGAACGCACAUUGCGCCCCCUGGUAUUCCGGGGGGCAUGCCUGUCCGAGCGUCAUUGCUGCCCUCAAGCACGGCUUGUGUGUUGGGCCUCCGUCCUCCUCCCGGGGGACGGGCCCGAAAGGCAGCGGCGGCACCGCGUCCGGUCCUCGAGCGUAUGGGGCUUCGUCACCCGCUCUUGUAGGCCCGGCCGGCGCUUGCCGACACAUCAAUCUGUUUUCCGGGUUGACCUCGGAUCAGGUAGGGAUACCCGCUUAACUUAAGCAUAUCAAUAAGCGGAGGA